AUUGAACGCUGGCGGCAGGCCUAACACAUGCAAGUCGAGCGAGAGGCGGACGGGUGAGUAAUGUAUGGGGACUGCCCGAUAGAGGGGGAUAACUACUGGAAACGGUUGCUAAUACCGCAUACUAUCGGAUAACCCAUAUGGGAUUGUCUAGUAGGUGGGGGAAAGGCGCACCUAGGCGACGAUCUGGAGCUGGUCGGAGAGGAUGAUCAGCAACACUGGAACUGAGACACGGCCCAGACUCCUACGGAGGCAGCAGUGGGGAAGAUUGCACAAUGGGCGCAAGCCUGAUGCAGCCAUGCCGCGUGUAUGAAGAAGGUCUUAGGGUGGUAAAGUACUUUAAGCGGGGAGGCGUUACCCGCAGAAGAAGCACCGGCUAACUCCGUGCCAGCAGCCGCGGUAAUUC
rnacentral:rRNA from 1 species